GGUCAAUGAUGUAAUGGCAUGUAUUAGCUGAUUCCAGAAGUGAUGUAAGUUCUAAAAUUACACUGAGACCUU
ensembl:snoRNA